rnacentral:rRNA from 1 species
GACGAACGCUGGCGGCGUGCCUAAUACAUGCAAGUCGAACGCAGUGGGGACGGGUGAGUAACACGUGGGUAACCUCCCAUCAGAGGGGAUAACACUUGGAAACAGGUGCUAAACCGAUACUGAUGGAUGAACCCGCGGUUGAUUAGCUAGUUGGUGAGGUAACGGCUCACCAAGGCCACGAUGCAUAGGCUGCCCGGGAAGGGGGUCGGCCACACUUGGGCUGGAGCACGGGCCAAACUCCUACGGGGGGCAGCAGUAGGGAAUCUUCGGGAAUGGACGAAAGGCUGGCCGAGCAACGCCGCGGGAGUGGAGAAGGUUUUCGGAACGUAAAACGCUGUUUGUAGGGAAGCGGUAUCUAACCAGAAAGGGACGGCUAACUACGUGCCAGCAGCCGCGGUAAUAC